rnacentral:rRNA from 1 species
GUUGGGUAGGGGAGCGUUCUGUAAGCCUGCGAAGGUGGCCUGUGAGGGUUGCUGGAGGUAUCAGAAGUGCGAAUGCUGACAUAAGUAACGAUAAAGCGGGUGAAAAGCCCGCUCGCCGGAAGACCAAGGGUUCCUGUCCAACGUUAAUCGGGGCAGGGUGAGUCGACCCCUAAGGCGAGGCCGAAAGGCGUAGUCGAUGGGAAACGGGUUAAUAUUCCCGUACUUGGUGUUACUGCGAAGGGGGGACGGAGAAGGCUAUGUUGGCCGGGCGACGGUUGUCCCGGUUUAAGCGUGUAGGCUGACUUUCCAGGCAAAUCCGGAGAGUCAAGGCUGAGGCGUGACGACGAGGCACCACGGUGCUGAAGCAACAAAUGCCCUGCUUCCAGGAAAAGCCUCUAAGCAUCAGGUAACAUCAAAUCGUACCCCAAACCGACACAGGUGGUCAGGUAGAGAAUACCAAGGCGCUUGAGAGAACUCGGGUGAAGGAACUAGGCAAAAUGGUGCCGUAACUUCGGGAGAAGGCACGCUGACACGUAGGUGAAGUGAUUUACUCAUGGAGCUGAAGUCAGUCGAAGAUACCAGCUGGCUGCAACUGUUUAUUAAAAACACAGCACUGUGCAAACACGAAAGUGGACGUAUACGGUGUGACGCCUGCCCGGUGCCGGAAGGUUAAUUGAUGGGGUCAGCGCAAGCGAAGCUCCUGAUCGAAGCCCCGGUAAACGGCGGCCGUAACUAUAACGGUCCUAAGGUAGCGAAAUUCCUUGUCGGGUAAGUUCCGACCUGCACGAAUGGCGUAAUGAUGGCCAGGCUGUCUCCACCCGAGACUCAGUGAAAUUGAACUCGCUGUGAAGAUGCAGUGUACCCGCGGCAAGACGGAAAGACCCCGUGAACCUUUACUAUAGCUUGACACUGAACAUUGAGCCUUGAUGUGUAGGAUAGGUGGGAGGCUUUGAAGCGUGGACGCCAGUCUGCGUGGAGCCGGCCUUGAAAUACCACCCUUUAAUGUUUGAUGUUCUAACGUGGACCCGUGAUCCGGGUUGCGGACAGUGUCUGGUGGGUAGUUUGACUGGGGCGGUCUCCUCCUAAAGAGUAACGGAGGAGCACGAAGGUUGGCUAAUCCUGGUCGGACAUCAGGAGGUUAGUGCAAUGGCAUAAGCCAGCUUGACUGCGAGCGUGACGGCGCGAGCAGGUGCGAAAGCAGGUCAUAGUGAUCCGGUGGUUCUGAAUGGAAGGGCCAUCGCUCAACGGAUAAAAGGUACUCCGGGGAUAACAGGCUGAUACCGCCCAAGAGUUCAUAUCGACGGCGGUGUUUGGCACCUCGAUGUCGGCUCAUCACAUCCUGGGGCUGAAGUAGGUCCCAAGGGUAUGGCUGUUCGCCAUUUAAAGUGGUACGCGAGCUGGGUUUAGAACGUCGUGAGACAGUUCGGUCCCUAUCUGCCGUGGGCGCUGGAGAACUGAGGGGGGCUGCUCCUAGUACGAGAGGACCGGAGUGGACGCAUCACUGGUGUUCGGGUUGUCAUGCCAAUGGCACUGCCCGGUAGCUAAAUGCGGAAGAGAUAAGUGCUGAAAGCAUCUAAGCACGAAACUUGCCCCGAGAUGAGUUCUCCCUGAGACUU